UGAGAGCUCUUUCUUGAUUAUGUGGGUGGUGGUGCAUGGCCGUUCUUAGUUGGUGGAGUGAUUUGUCUGCUUAAUUGCGAUAACGAACGAGACCUUAACCUGCUAAAUAGCCAGGCUAGCUUUUGCUGGUCGCCGGCUUCUUAGAGGGACUAUCGGCUCAAGCCGAUGGAAGUUUGAGGCAAUAACAGGUCUGUGAUGCCCUUAGAUGUUCUGGGCCGCACGCGCGCUACACUGACAGAGCCAACGAGUAUAAACCUUAACCGAGAGGUUUGGGUAAUCUUGUUAAACUCUGUCGUGCUGGGGAUAGAGCAUUGCAAUUAUUGCUCUUCAACGAGGAAUAUCUAGUAAGCGCGAGUCAUCAGCUCGCGUUGAUUACGUCCCUGCCCUUUGUACACACCGCCCGUCGCUACUACCGAUUGAAUGGCUCAGUGAGGCCUUCGGACUGGCUCAGGGAGGUCGGCAACGACCACCCAGAGCCGGAAAGUUGGUCAAACUUGGUCAUUUAGAGGAAGUAAAAGUCGUAACAAGGUUUGGAUAAGAUCCUUCUGAGGUGACGCUUAUGAGAAGCCUUUGUGGCCCUGCAAAGGGUACUAACCGCGACUGUAAAAAAUGAAUGUUGGUAUUAAAUCGCAAGUCAGUUUACACUGGCAACACUUUCGAAUUGCGGGGACACCCUAAAGCCUUUCUCUACCAACUUAUCAGGGAAAUCUGAUGUGGGCCUAUGCUAAUAACAUAGGGUAUGGUAAUAACGAGAAUUAGGAUAUACGUAUUCCGUAUUAUGGGCCAUCCGCAGCCAAGUCUCUAAGGCAGUUUUGCUAUGAGAAAGGUUCACAGACUAAGUGGAAGUGGGUUACCUAGUAACUUAAGAUAUAGUCGGGCUCAUUGGGAAACCAUUGAGGAGUCACUCAAGUAGUGGAAUAAAACCGUUCCGUAGGUGAACCUGCGGAAGGAUCAUUAUUAAACACUCUUUGGGCAACCAAAGUUUUAAACCCUUUGUGAACUAAAAACCUUUCUAGCUUCGGCAGCUUUGCAGCUCUGGUUGCAAGUCAGCCUGCCGGUAGCGCCAAACCAAACUCGUUUUUAUAAACUCAGUCUGAAUCAAAAUUUUCGAAUGAAAAUUAAAACUUUCAACAACGGAUCUCUUGGUUCUCGCAUCGAUGAAGAACGCAGCGAAACGCGAUAGUUAAUGUGAAUUGCAGAAUUCAGUGAAUCAUCGAGUCUUUGAACGCACAUUGCGCCCUUUGGUAUUCCGAAGGGCAUGUCUGUUUGAGCGUCAUUUCACACCCUCGCUGGCUAGCUUUUGUUAGGUCAAGCGGUUUUGGAGUGGUCGAACGGUUGGGUAACUAACCAUCUCCCUCUUAAAUGUGAAUGCUAAUGUCGACCUGACCUGAAAAUCUUACGUAGUAAUAUUCUUGCAACCGUUUGAUGGAAAGGGAAAGGGCUGACCUGAAUAAAUGACAACUGAACCUCUCUAGGUUUGACCUCAGAUCAGAUAAGGAUACCCGCUGAACUUAAGCAUAUCAAUAAGCGGAGGAAAAGAAACCAACAGGGAUUGCCUCAGUAACGGCGAGUGAAGCGGCAACAGCUCAAAUUUGAAAUCUGAAACCUUUAGUUUCCGAGUUGUAAUUUGAAGAGGAUGUUUCGGUUGUGACCGUGGCCUAAGUUCCUUGGAACAGGACGUCGUAGAGGGUGAGAAUCCCGUACACGGCUGACGGUUUACUUCCAUGUGUAACUCCUUCGAAGAGUCGAGUUGUUUGGGAAUGCAGCUCAAAAUGGGUGGUAAAUUUCAUCUAAAGCUAAAUACUGGCGAGAGACCGAUAGCGCACAAGUAGAGUGAUCGAAAGAUGAAAAGCACUUUGAAAAGAGAGUUAAACAGUACGUGAAAUUGUUGAAAGGGAAGCGUUUGCAAUCAGACUUGCUUGCGGUUGAUCAACGUUCCUUCUGGUUCGUGCACUCUGCCGUUUGCAGGCCAGCAUCGGUUAGGGCGGUGGGACAAAGACUCUGAGAAUGUGGCUCUCUUCGGGGAGUGUUAUAGCUCAGUGUGUAAUGCCACCAGUCCUGACCGAGGUCCGCGCUUUUGCUAGGAUGCUGGCAUAAUGGUUGUAAACGACCCGUCUUGA
rnacentral:rRNA from 1 species